UUUUGGCUAUAGUUCAUAUGUAAUUUUAUGUAUGGUUCAAUUUAUUUUAUGUAAUAUGCCAAAUGAAUUUUUAUUAGUAACAACUUCUUUAAUUCAUUCAGCUCCUCCAAAAUUUGAAAAUCUGUGAUUCAACAUUUUGCUUUUCCCAAAACAAUACAUAAUUUACACAAAAUUUUUGAAUUGAAUAAAACACUAAUAAAUUGCUCCUAUGCCCAAUAUAACUUACACUAAACUGUCCCAUAUCAAUUUCACUAGUGUUAUCUUUUGAAUUUAGAAAUAGAAGUUAUUAAAUGUUGGUGGCUCAUCAUGCAGUGCAUUUGAGAAGGGCAUGCUUUCAAAAUUAAGACUGUUUCCCUGAUUCCUACAGCAAAAAAAAAACUUUAAAAUGCUGGUGGCAAUAUUUUAAAGAGUGCAUCUGAUCGAAAAGAAGGUGAAUGACGUCAACUGUUCGAAAAUUCGAUUCUUGCAAAUUAGCAAGUGGAAGAAGAAGUUUACAAAGUUAUAAUUUAUAAAACUUAACACAAUUAUAUAAUAAAAAAAUUUAAAUGA